GGAAAUACCAAAAUAAACGCUUUAUGAAAACCUGCUCUAAAGUGUGCCUGUAGUGGCGAGGACAUGUGACUGUGGUCCCCUAACGGUUACUUCUAACCGCCAUAUGUUGCUUCAGUUAUUUCCCACGAGCAUAUCUGGCGAUUUAACUGAAAACAUCAGAAGAGCCAUUUUGGCGGUCUUUCAGCAGUAGUGCAAUUUUAGUGGCUGCAGUCUCCACAAUCACCAAAGCACUUGGAAUCCAGCAAUGCAUCUGGACCAACUACAUAGACCUACUACCUCCACUGGAAUAUCAUAGCGCUUGGAUGGUUACCAAGCAAACCAGGCGUCAAAUUUCCAACGUUUCAAAAUGUUAAUUCCCUGAAACCAUCUUUUACUGAAGCAACAUCUUGUCAUGGUCGGGAUGAGUGCAGUGUUUUUCCAUAGCCCUAGGGCUCCACCUCAGGCCAGAGUCUCCAUUAAGCCAUCUCACCUGUCUGCAAUCAAGCUACCCGUAUUUAAGACCAGAAUACUCAGAAGUUCUCCAUCAGAUCUACAGCUAACCAGUGUUAGUGUUAGGCUGCCAAGCUCACUUGUGAUUUCCUCAGUAUUCUCUCUUAUUGUGUUUUCUCUGUUCUAAUAACCUGGCUGGUCAUCACGUUGCUCUUUUAAACAAUACUCAGCUUCAUUUUGGAUGCUGGUCUUCCUCCAAUCACACAGUCUGGUUACGCUCACUUCCCCGCUGCACUCCACCUGCCUGCCUCCCUGCCACAGCUUCUGGAGCAGUACAUUUUGGAUUCACUCAGGAGUGAAACCUCACCCAGACCUUUGGACUGCCCUCCUUCCACGCCGUACUCCACCUGCAACCUUGACUCUGCACUUCUCCGCCCGUGUGACAGCCCCUUCUUCACCCAUUGGACCACUUUCAUGGACUUUUGAAUUUAACAUUAGUUCACAAAUUACGCUUCUCGUUUCUGGUUUAGUCUCAUAGUUCACAGUUCAUCGUCGAUACCUUAAAAGUAUAGGCAUAGUUCACAGUUUAUAGUUGUCACCUUAAAGUCUUGUCUCACUUGUAAAGUAAAGCACUGUUUUCACAUCUACUUGUGCCUCUGUCUGUGUCUGGCCUAUAAGUCCUUGCACCUAGUCCGACCUCUCAGUUGUGACAUGUCUAUCCUUUCCAUCUCAAGGCCAACUUUCUAAGAGUUACUGCAAGACUAUAAUUUCUGAGUCAAAAUUCAAUAUAAUCAGUGACAAUAAUUUGGAUCAGAUAGUGUUCAAGAUAAAAAC
rnacentral:lncRNA from 1 species